GGGUCAGUAGGUUGGUCGUGCCACCGGUACGUACUGGUCUCACUGAUUCCUCCUUCCUGAAGAACCGUAAUGCCAUUAAUUUGGUGUCGCGGGGAAACAGGACUGUUAUUUUGAAAAAAUUAGAGUGUUUAAAGCAAGCUAACGCUUGAAUACAUUAGCAUGGAAUAAUGAAAUAGGACGAUCGAUCCUAUUUUGUUGGUUUCUAGGAUUGACGUA
rnacentral:rRNA from 1 species